UGCGUGAAGUCGGAAUCGCUAGUAAUCGCGGAUCAGCAUGCCGCGGUGAAUACGUUCCCGGGCCUUGUACACACCGCCCGUCACACCAUGAGAGUCGGGAACACCCGAAGUCCGUAGCCUAACCGCAAGGAGGGCGCGGCCGAAGGUGGGUUCGAUAAUUGGGGUGAAGUCGUAACAAGGUAUC
rnacentral:rRNA from 1 species